rnacentral:misc_RNA from 1 species
CGUUCCGGUAUACCGGACCAUACGCAAGGUACGUUUCGGCAGUACCCUGGGGGACAUAGACCCUCUCAGCCGUAGCAACACCAUGCUAGAGAGUCGCCCCUGGAGUCACCAUAGAUCAUAGCUACUCGAGAGAGAGAGAGAGAGAGAUAGAGAUAGAGAGUACUUAAGCUACUGUUAAAUGUUUUUCAUGGAUCAAUUAUUAAUCAAAUCAAGAGUAGAUAAUAGGAGAGAUCUCUAUUAUGUACUCUCUAUCAAAUGUACCACAUGGGUGAUUGGACUAGGAGAUUAUGUGACAGUUAAUUAUAUACACUGAAUUGAUGUAAGAAAAUAAAUUGCUUUUACACAAGUCUUCCGCUGUACUAAAAUAAAAUUGUUCUUUUUUUUUCAAACAGGUGAUAAUGCCAAAGUUGUCGAAACCUCUCAAGCAUACUGUUCGCGUCUAUACUGCUGGCAGCAGAAGAGGAAGACUUGUCAACCUUAAGGCAACACCAUGUAUUGGUCAGCAAUUUGUAAAGCCAUCGCAAGCCUUACCUCACUCCUGUUCUACAGAUGUGGGAAGUGAUGCCGAUGAAGGAGUUGCAUCCAGUAAUUAUUGUGAAGAGCAACCAGUACUGAACAAGUAUAUGGAAAGUAGGCGCAGGAGAGACCAAUCAUGGAAAGAAAUUAGAGACGACCUUAAACUAACGCACUUGGAGGGUCAAGCGCCAGCAACACUCAUUUGCUGCAUGUGCCAGACAGAGGAAGUCAACAUUAUUUACUGUCCUGACUGUAGCUACAGUAGCUAUUACUGCAUGAAAUGUGUGUUGGUAGCCCACGGACAGCAUACAUUGCAUACACCCUCCAUAUGGAAGGAAGGACUGAUGGUGCGAUAUGAAUUCCCUACCAUUCAACAGUGGGAGCGAGAGGAUGGUCAUGCGUGCGAAACAAGAUUGUGGCGCAUCAUAGCAGUACUAGAUGAAAAUGGUGUGCAGCAUCAAGUGCAAGUUUCUGUUUGCUCAUGCGAGCCUGUAGCAGUUACUUUGAUAAGGUACCACCUGUGGCCUGCAACCCCAAAGAAUCCCCAAGUGGCAUUCACAUUUAAUCUUAUGGAAAACCUGAGGUUACUUGUGUUGGAAUGUCAGGUUUCAGUCCGAUCAUUCUGCAUGGCCAUGAAAAUUAGGAAUAAAGCUCAUCCUUUGGCACUGAGUGAUGUUGAUGAUGCAUAUAAAACGUUGCAAGGAGGAUGUUUCGAGGAGUACAGGGUGUUUUGGAAAAGCCUUAAUUACCCGUCUGGCGAUGGUUAUGAUAAUGGUACAACCUGUAGCUUAUGCCCAAAGGAUUCUGGAACAGCAAUAUUUUCCAUGGAUGGAAAUUUCGGACUUGUUAGAAGAAAGAAAGCUGGGGAAGACCUGGAAGCUGAGAAAGACCUAUCUGAUUGCGGGAAAUCGACAAGGUUUUUCGUUGAUCAAACACAAGUUGAUCAAUAUGUAAAUAAUGCUCAAAAAGAUACCACAAGCAAACACGGGAUAUGCAGUGAUUUCCAAGCCGGAAAUCCUCUAAGAAGUCGCUCAAGGUUUGAAAAACUUGAUGUAACUGGAGUCUUUGGAUCUGUGUGUCGCCAUGAUUAUCCAAAGGCGUUCUUCAACCUUAGACACGGAGAAAGACUAGCCUACCCUGAAUUUUUGGCGAAACAUCUAUGCAUGGAGGCAGGACCACAGAAAGUUAUUCUCUUAUAUGACAUAGCAUGUGUUUUGGAGAACCACAUUGAGUUGUCUACAUUACCGAACGAGAAUGUCACAUUUGCUGUGCCGAUAUUCCACAUGUAUGGACACAACGUAGCUUGUCAGGUUCAGUACAACCCAAGGAGGAUUGAGGGCAUGGGCCUUACUGACGGCGAAGGUGUGGAAAGGCUUUGGUCUUUCCUUAGGCGCUUCAGUAACAUCACGAAAGAAAUGACCCCUAGUCACCGAAACCUCCUUUUAGAUGAUGCACUACUCCAUUUCGGAGAGAAGCUACGAUCACAGCAAGAUUUUUUGAAGAGGCUGCUAAAGAAAGCUAAAGAAUCUAUACCUACUUGUGAGGAAGAACUCAGAAAGUGAAACCGUCAAAUGAGGACAAUGCGUUGGAAGGAGGAAGAGCGUCGUACAGUGGGAAAACCUACAGAAGAUGGGCAAGCA